CGUGAACUGGUGGGGUCCCUUGGCCUAGCCUGCACCCUCUAGCAAUCCAGGACCCCUCGGACUGCUGGUUUCAGCCUGAUCCCCGCAGGCCAGGCCAAGGGACCCCACCGGUGCACG
rnacentral:pre_miRNA from 1 species